CAGAAGUGCAGCUGAAGAAAGUAUCUAGGACAGAAAUCCACGACAAGUCCUUGGAACCAGCAGAUCUCUUCGUUCACGGAGACGUUGACGUAUUCUCUAUUGAAGAAGAUUCUUACCUUCUUACUGGACAAGGUUUUGUCAGUUCUGCGUGACUGGAUUGUCCGGGAGACUCUGAGGAAACUGAUGUCACAUGUUUUUCCAAAGAAGAUGUUUCUGGAACCAACAACUGUGAUUGUGGUUUGAGGACUUCUGAGAGUUCCAGUACAGGAAAUAAGCAGAACAUCAGCUGGAGGCUAAACGGAUCCAGACUUCACUCUUCACUUCCCUUCCUAUUCAGUCUAUUGUGCCUGCUGACUGAGAAGCUUGGCUGGUAUGUGAGCAAAUAAACGGAACUAUUCAGAAGGAGAUGUUGACAUAUUCUGUAUUGAAGAAGAUCCUUAUCUUCUCACCUGACAAGGUUUUGUCAGUUCUGUGUGACUGGAUUGUCCGGAAGACUCUGAGGAAACUGAUGUCACAUGUUUUUCCAAAGAAGAUGUUUCUGGAACCAACAACUGUGAUUGUGGUUUGAGGACGCCUGGGAGUUCCGGUAUGCGAAAUAAGCAGAACAUCAGCUGGCGGCUGAAGGGAUGCAGCCUCCACUCUUCACUUCCCUUGCCAUUCCAUCUAUUGUGUCUGCCUGACUGAGAAGCUUGGCUGGUAUGUGAG
rnacentral:lncRNA from 1 species